UUGACCUCGGAUCAGGUAGGGAUACCCGCUGAACUUAAGCAUAUCAAUAAGCGGAGGAAAAGAAACCAACAGGGAUUGCCCCAGUAACGGCG
rnacentral:rRNA from 1 species